UCUGGCCUUUUUGAAAAAAGCUCUCACUUCACGUACAUAGAAGCUGAUUUCGAUUUUCAAUGUCUCUAUCUCUCGAAAUGGCACUCUCUGUCUCUGGGGAUGAUAUAUGGUUGAGAAUGAGUUUGAGUUUUAAGGGAAGGCACAGUCUUGCCUGGCUAUAGCUCUGCCUCUGGUUCUGUUCAACAUUCGAUGACUCUCUUGAGUGAGUAAAUUUCCUAAAGCUCUUUCUGUUCCAAAAAAAAAACAACAACGAAAAACGAACGAAAAUACAGUGGGGCUGGUCGUGGUCAGUAAGUAAGAAGUAAGAUACAAAAACAAAAAGAAUCAAGUAUAAAUCUCGUCCACGAUCGAAACUGAACUGACUUAGCUGCUGCAAGACAUUGAACCUAAUAUCUUGAAGGGCAUUCUGAGAAGAGUAUUGAAAUAAGGAAAAACAGACAAAAUCAAGACCAUUGUGGUGAAACUGGAAAGAGACGAUAAAGAAGGUUCACAAAGGCCUUUCAUUUUAUUUCAUUUGAUUAAAUCUUAUCAGCGCUAACCUAACCGUGAUAUCAGUUAUUGGCUUUCCGAUAUGAAUGUUUACUCUCUCGGUGUUAUAUUUUAUACAAUUUUUUGUUUUGUUGUUAAAUUGAAUAUUUGUGAUGUUGUUAUUGUAAAUGUACAUAUUAUCAAAUUGUUUUGUUUGUUAUGCACUUUAGAUACACGUUUACAAAAAAAGCUAUUUAUCUUCUAAAGAGAUUAAAUCGGGGGUAUGGUAGAGUUUUUUGUAAGACGUAGAAAGUUGGGUUUGAGAUAUUUUUUUUAUAGUAAAUGCAAAUGUUCUAAUUUGCAAAACAUAAUAUUGUUAUUGUUGUUGAAAUUAUUUUGUUUGUUUGUUUACUUUAUACCCGAACAAAGAUCGUGUCAGAAUCAGUAGCUAAAAAUCUGUUAUUAUUAAUUUAAAACGUAAUUCAUUAACCAUAUGUAAGUUUUGCGAUAAGAAUGAGAUAAAAUAAUUGCAUGACUUGAUAAUAAAAAGUUCUUUCUUUUAGAACGUAUCGAAAA